AGAUUUAUUUCACGCUAAAAAUCAGCGGAAGCAGCGGCAUCAGUGUACCCAUAUAUAAUUUUACCGUCGUAUCCACCGGUAAUUUACAAAAGGUCACCUGCCCACAGCCGUAUCACAUGUACAAUGGCCGCUUUUGCUACGACAGUGAAAUUAUGCAUAUUCCUGACGCUGUUUUGCACACUGAUCCUGCAUAUUCAUGCAAUGCCCGUAUCGAAUUCAGAGGGAUCACAAGCAGUGCAAAAUGAUGCGGUACACAGCAGGUCGAAGCGGCAGUUUGGUGGCUGGGGUUUAGGAGGGGACGCUCAAGGUUUCCUUUGGGGUUUGCUCUUCCAUAAUUACUUUACGUCCGCACCAGCGUCCGGAUAGCAAAUCAGUGGGAUGUACAGUUAAUACAUGGAUCCAAUGCUAACCACGUGACCUUUCCGCGCUUGCGCUUGAAAAUUCCAGUAUCAAGGUUAAAAUGGAUAAGCGCGACAAUUUAUGCCGUCAAUAUCUAUUUACUAAACGUUCAGUACGUACGGAAAAAAGAUAUUUCGGCAUUCUUAGUUAAUAUAACGAACAUCUGUCUGAAGUGUUUAAGAAAGACUGGUGCCACUAUGCACAUGCUCAAUAAAUCACAAGUCUGGCGCAAAAACCAUUCUACUCUUUCAUUUUUAUUCCGCUAAGCCGUUUCUGUACAAAG